CCCGGCAAUAAAUUGCCGGGCUGUUAUGGGAUGUCCUUACAGGACA
rfam:Desulfobacteraceae bacterium IS3 Ga0073107_10386, whole genome shotgun sequence.